AGGGAGAUCCUUGAGGAACAAUUGACUGAUGGGCUCAGACUGGCAAGGUACCUAGUCCAAAAACUCAGUCCAGGAAUCCUACCUGCUGCAGAGUAUCUGAGACAGCCAGAACCCUCAUUCUCCUGAACUGCAUUGUUCAAGAUGAGGAAGAAGACCUUGACCCAAUAUG